CAUGACUGAGAUAGGCGUGUAAAUGUUUACUUUCAGAAUUGCUCUCCAGUCCUGUCACGGUAAACAUCCCAACCAAACGUGAAUCCCAAUGAAUAGCUGCUGGGAUAUUAACAAUGUCAUCACAAUUAUACUCAUCCUUUGGGAGUGUAAAGAGUUCCUCAGAUCCCAAAGGUGGAGAGGUUGCUGGUGCUAUGCUGUCGGGUUCAGAAGUUCUACCCGGACAAAGUCCAUCUCGAGUGGUCGAGAAACGAUUGUGAGCAGGUGUAUAGCAUGUGGAGUAAAAUCGAGAUGACUAUGACUCAGGAGGACAAGAGGGCGGUCUACACGUGCCGCGUGUAUCACUCCAGUUUCUCUGGGCCAGUAUACAAAGAUGUUCUCGAUCAUAUCAACACACAAGGCACCCCUAUGAAUGUGAUAUUCAUCAAGUGUGAGCCACUACGCUCAACCUCUAUGUCCUGAACACGUGUCGGUCAGCUGGUCUAAGGACGGACAGAGGGUCCCUGCUGGCCAGGUCUUCAACUCACCGCCAAGCCUGAACGUCAACAGCCUGUACUCUAUGUGGAGCUUCCUCAAACCGAGUCCCACCACGGAGGACUACGUCUCAGAGUUCAGGUGCCGUGGAGAGAGUGUUCACACUGUCAGAUAUCAUAGGCACAUAAUAAUAAUCAUUUUGUGGGUGCUUAUAUUUGUCCUAUUUCACGCAUGUACAAGUGUGUAUUAUACCAAUGUGUGAAUAGGAAAUGUUUUUUGUUUUUUUGUCCCCCUGAGACACCCUCGGAGAGUGCGGUCACAGCCCAUAGGCCUAGUGUAUACUCAAGUUGUACAACUGACACACUCAGGUUGUACAAAGCAUUUGACACAAUGGUUGUGAUACAAUAGUUGUGUGAUGUCUGCAAAAACACCAGAUGUAUCACAACCAUUGUGAAAAUGGGUAGUACAUCAGUUGUACAACCAGAGUGCUAAGGCAUAGUCAAAGGAUGUAUAGAAGGAUAUUACCGCUAAAGUUUGUAGCAUUAUGUAGAGUUAUUUUGAUACGUUCAGUAGUUUGAUGUCUUUAUACUUGUUUUUGUUUAUUUCAUUCGGUCUAUUCAUCCUCAAAAGAUGGGAAAUGUUGACGUGAGUCUAAGUGCUGAUAGAUGAUCUGAAUGGCUAAACUGAUCCUAGAUCAGCACUUAAUGAAUACGGGCCCUGAUCACUGAAUAGAUGUCCUGCUUUGUUGAUAGAGAAUUUCAGUCAGCGUUAGUUACUCGUAAUUCUCUUGUUGCUAGACAGUCUAUCAUGGCAUAAGGCGAGACCCAGAUGCAGACACAGGAGGCAGAUGGUUGGAAUCUUACAAUGUUUAUUAAUCCAAAAGGAGUAGGCAAGAGAAUGGUCGUGGACAGGCAAAAGGUCAAAACCAGAUCAGAGUCCAGGAGGUACAGAGUGGCAGACAGGCUCGUGGUCAA